UUUGAUAUAAAUACACAGGGCUUUGGCCACGAUGGUACACUUACAUCUGCAUUUCUGUUAAAUUAUGUCCUUCAUCCUUCUACUGUUGAUAUUCAGCCCAUACGCAGUACUGGUAUACCCAUUUCCUAGUCACUGGAGGGGAUAUGAACCACAUGUAGUAAAUAAUAUAUAUGGAACAUGGGAAAUUUUACCUACGAGUAGAUCUAGAUUAGUUGACCCCGAUUGUGUUAAUUGUGUGUCUGGUAAAGUGGAUGACACCAAUAUACAAGACAAUGUCAAGGCACGGGUGGAUAACACCAAUAAACGAGGCAAGGCCCACGCCAGGCUUGGGCAGACAUCGUCAAUGUAUCCAACGUAUUUACUCUUCCCAUAUUGACGGAAAUUGCGAAAUCGUUUGGGUAAACGUUGUUUUUAGUUAUGUAUAUAACAAAAAAAUUUCUCGUAAUAUCGCACAAAUCAACGUAGACAAAUACUCGAUUGGCUACUAUUUUUCACGGCCGUUUGUAAUUAUAAUUUUCUUCGAUAAGUAUCACUACUUUCACUAUUAAAUAAAUGCUUUAGAAAAUCCA